UACGUAGGGUGCGAGCGUUAAUCGGAAUUACUGGGCGUAAAGCGUGCGCAGGCGGUUUGUUAAGCCAGAUGUGAAAGCCCCGGGCUCAACCUGGGAACUGCGUUUGGUACUGGCAAGCUAGAGUACGGCAGAGGGGGGUGGAAUUCCACGUGUAGCAGUGAAAUGCGUAGAGAUGCGGAGGAACACCGAUGGCGAAGGCAGCCCCCUGGGCCGAUACUGACGCUGAGGAGCGAAAGCGUGGGGAGCGAACAGG
rnacentral:rRNA from 1 species